rnacentral:tmRNA from 1 species
GGGGGUGAUCUGGAUUCGACCGGAUGACAAGAAGCAAUGAUUGCGUGUCGUGGUUGAUCAGUUGGCCACGUUAAAAGCUGAUCAAAACUUUUAGUUGCAGAUGAAAGUCUUGCACUGGCCGCCUAAUAACAGGUAGCUCGGACUGAGGGGGAUUGCCAGAGUCGCCCGACUGUCCGUCACAAUUCUGGAUCGUUCAUCGUCCUACUCGAGACGCGGUGAUCUAAACAAAGUUUCGGGUUAGUGAGCUUCGGAGCCUGUCGAGCAGCGCCGCGGUAAGCGAAACGGUUUCUUCGGAGAUCAAAAUGGUUCGACUACACACGUAGACGUUAUUGUGGAUGCAUCGCGGGACGCGGGUUCAAUUCCCGCCGCCUCCACUA